GAUGAACGCUGGCGGUAUGCUUAACACAUGCAAGUCGAACGGAACCUUUCGGGGUUUAGUGGCGGACGGGUGAGUAACGCGUGAGAACAUGCCUUUAGAUUGGGGACAACAGUUGGAAACGACUGCUAAUACCGAAUAUGCCUUUAUCGGUGAAAGAUUAAUUGUCUAAAGAUUGGCUCGCGUCAGAUUAGCUAGUUGGAGUGGUAACGGCACCCCAAGGCGACGAUCUGUACUUGGUCUGAGAGGAUGACCAGGCACACUGGAACUGAGACACGGUCCAGACUCCUACGGGAGGCAGCAGUGGGGAAUUUUCCGCAAUGGGCGCAAGCCUGACGGAGCAAUACCGCGUGAGGGAGGACGGCUUUUGGGUUGCAAACCUCUUUUAUCAGGGAAGAAAAGAUGACGGUACCUGAUGAAUCAGCAUCGGCUAACUCCGUGCCAGCAGCCGCGGUAAU
rnacentral:rRNA from 1 species